AGUAAUAUAUAGUUAAUGUACCUUCAAGACCGGGAUAGCCAUUGGAAACGAUGAUUAAUACUGGAUAUACCUUCUCUACUUAAGUAGAGUCGGGAAACGUUUUUUCGCUUGAAGAUCAGACUAUAUCCCAUCAGUUUGUUGGUGAGGUAAGAGCUCACCAAGGCAAUGACGGGUAGCGGGUUUGAGAGGAUGAUCCGCCACACUGGUACUGAGACACGGACCAGACUCC
rnacentral:rRNA from 1 species